GACACCCAUCAUAAUUUUGGCGCCGUUGCCGGGACCAAUGGUUCGGUCUUAGGUCUUUUGUUUUGUUAGUGUGUGUUGUGUUUUGUCUUGUGUUGUGAGUGUGAUGUUCUGUUCUUUUGUGUGUUAUCAUGUGUGUUGCAUUUAGGUAGCUUUACUUGCAUAUUUUGAUUGCAUUCUUCUUUUCCCCCUUCCUUCUACAUGUCUACCUAUUUUGAUUUUGUGAAUACUGUUUCUUCUGCCUAUGUCCAUGACUAUGAUUCUCCUUCUGCAUCCGACUCUGAUAUUGCUUCUCAUGCAUAUUCUACUGAUUUCUAUGUUGAGAAUAAUAUGACUCAUCCUCCCAC
rnacentral:lncRNA from 1 species